UACAGAGGGUGCGAGCGUUGUCCGGAAUCACUGGGCGUAAAGGGCGCGUAGGCGGCCUGCUAAGUAGAGGGUGAAAUCCUGCGGCUCAACCGCAGGGCUGCCUUCUAAACUGUCAGGCUGGAGCACGGUAGAGGCAGAUGGAAUUCCCGGUGUAGCGGUGGAAUGCGUAGAGAUCGGGAAGAACACCAGUGGCGAAGGCGGUCUGCUGGGCCGUUGCUGACGCUGAGGCGCGACAGCGUGGGGAGCGAACAGG
rnacentral:rRNA from 1 species